CCUACGGGUGGCAGCAGUGAGGAAUAUUGGUCAAUGGUCGGGAGACUGAACCAGCCAAGCCGCGUGAGGGAUGAAGGUACAGAGUAUCGUAAACCUCUUUUGUCAGGGAACAAAGGCGGGGACGUGUCCCCGGAUGAGUGUACCUGAAGAAAAAGCAUCGGCUAACUCCGUGCGAGCAGCCGGGGUAAUACGGAGGAUGCGAGCGUUAUCCGGUUUUAUGGGGUUUAAAGGGGGCGCAGGCGGUCUGUUAAGUCAGCGGUCAAAGCCCGGGGCUCAACCCCGGCCCGCCGUUGAAACUGGCAGUCGCGAGUUGGAGAGAAGUAUGCGGAAUGCGCGGUGGAGCGGUGAAAUGCAUAGAUAUCGCGCAGAACUCCGAUUGCGAAGGCAGCGUGCCGGCUCCACACUGACGCUGAGGCACGAAAGCGUGGGUAUCGAACAGGAUUAGAUACCCGGGUAGUC
rnacentral:rRNA from 1 species